ensembl:lncRNA
GGAAAUCUUUUCCCAUGGUUGUUCUUAAAUGAAACCAAAUUAAACUUCAAAAACUAUUUAUUUUUGAGUAGGUAAUGCAUGUACAUGGUACAAAAUUCCCGAGUACAAAAGGCAAACGGUGAAAAGUCAUUUCCACCCUCUUCUGAGCAGCAACCGAGGCUACUGUGUCACUUCUCAGAGACAGUCCGGGAACAGGCAAGCAGACACAUCACAGGCGCAUGUGUGGGUGCACACACGCACAUAGGCACCCACACACCUACAUGUAUUUAUCUCUAUUCCAAACGCUAGCAUCUCAUUCAUGGUCAUGCAUGUUUUCUUCCCCCACCUAAACCACGUGGCUCCAAGAUCCCUGGAACGUUCCCUGGCAAUACACAGAGUCUGCUCGUUUACGUGUCUGCAAAGGGCCCCACUGUAGAGAUGGGUCGUGCUUCUUCAUCUCUCUUCUGAUCUAAUGGUAGUUUCUAACUGCAUGUUAUUACAAACAUUGCUUUAAUAAAAGUUUCUAUACAUAGGAAAAGUUCCUGCGUGUGGCACUGCUGGUUCAAAAGGCAGUACAAUGGGAUUCCUGACGUUAUUCAACUGUCCUCCAAGGAGGCUGGAGGCUUGCAGGCUGUCAUUACUGCAUGGUGUGCUGCUGCCCACAACUCUACGGCACCACCGUUUUCUUCCAUCAUGCAGCUAAGAUCCAUCUACCACAUCUGAAGGGAGAACACACUAAUGAUCCUACUUGACAUUAAUGUGCCCUCCCUGCCGCAAUACUGCACAUCUCCAGAGGGUGGCCUGGAAACUACUGGAAAACUUUCUCCAUUCCCACUUUCAAGGAACCUUCCAUUCAACCUUCCAAUGAGCAUACAACACCCCUCAGAGGGCUUCUCUAGCGCUGCUGAGUAGACCGGACAGCCUGUGUAAACCUGAGCACAGAUUGGGUUCAAUCUGUCUUUUGCUACAGUGGGGUGCAAAGAUGACAGUCUGGGGAGCCGACUUAACCCAGUGCAAUGCUCUGCCUAACGGGCCACAGUGAGCUGGGCAGGGUCCCUGCUUCCGCCGCCCUGCCCUGACACAUUCCAAAGAGGGAAGAUGUAGGCCUUGCAAAGAAUCAUGGACCUUAAGCAGUGACAUGUGUCAUUAGGACAGACGACAGGAAUGUGAUGAGUGAUAUGGCCAGGCCCGUGUGAAGACAACCGAAAAUCGUGGAAGGGACCAGACAUAUCAAUCGUGGAGAGUAUCAAUGAGGGUGAGUUUGGCCAGCUGGGAAAUUGAUACAGGCCAAUCAGGACACAGAAGCAGCGACUCCCCAUGGUGUCAAACACACGCAUAUGAGGCACUAAAGCCCUGCUCAUGAUCUUAUACACAGUUAUUCUGAGAAGGAAAAUACAUUACUUUUUGUGUGUGUGUGCACCUUCCUAUAUGUGUACAUGUAUAUGCAUGUGCCUGUGCAUGUGAAGGUCAGAGGUCAACUCAGAUGCCUCUCGACCUAAUUUUAAAGACAGGUUUUUUUUUUCACUGAAUUGAAGCUUACCAAUUCAGCUAGUCUGGGUGGUCAGUGAGCCCCGGGGAUCCUUUGUCUCCACCUCUCUAGUGCUGUGAAUACAAGGGCACACUGCUGUGCCUGGCUUUGAUCCUGGGGAUCCUAACUUCAGUCCUCAGGCUUUACUGACCGAGUUAUUCCCCGCUUCCAUUAUGUUUUACACACCAUUUGGCUCACUGCCACCUGCUGCUAGGAGGGAGAGCCUGGCAAACUCUUAAGAUGCAUCCCAGGCGGCUCUUCCUCCAGCCUGGCUCAGCUGCCACAGACACCACCCAUGUUACCGGGCUCCUCACUGUACUAAUCUGCACUAAGGUCUUUGUCUCAGUGACCAACCCUGGCGAUGAAUACAUCAUCAAACACGUCCUUACGGCACCUCUCAGACCAUAAUUCAGUUCAACUGCCUAAACCUUCACAAGCCAAGGUCCGUGUAGGACGUUACUGCUAGGAUGCCCGGCUUCCACCACCUGGAAGGCAGGCAAGACAGAGUCAAGGGGAGGCAGAAGGGAUGGAGAUAGAGGCUGCAGGUGAGGCUGGGUGUCUCAGCUGCCCCUUCAGGAAGCGUCUAGAGUAUUAAAGAUAGGAAAGACAAGAGACUGCCAAAGAGACCAGCGAUGGGAAUGGCACCCGAGGAGGUAGUAAGAGCUGCUGGAAGGCCUGCCCCAGGCUUUGUCCUGAGAGGUCCCCAGAAACAGUCUGGAGAAGAAAGCCUUCUGUGGUGACCAGUGUGGGUUUGGUUCCACCACAAGCCUGUGUCUUCCCUGUUCUUGAAUCAAGUGCUACAAGCCAGACCCUGAUCCAGAAGAUCGGGCUAACAGGAGCUUAGGCCAACACAGACUGCUUCAUUACAAGAACACCCUUGGAAGCUAUUCCAUAGUGCCCCUUGGUGCUGACUGACCAACGAACAUGGAGAAGAGCAGAAUGUCCCUACAUCCUCCCAGACCUUCCACCAUCGCCUCACCCUGCUCACAGUUGCUCUGAGCGUGGUCUCAACCAGAGCACCCUCAGGUACUUCAUGGAAAGCAUGUGGGAGAGGUGGCAGCUCCUAACCCAGAGGCUGGUCCUGAGAAUGCUGGCUGGAAGCCAGCCCCGUGAACAAGCACCCUCUGAAUCUGGUUUCUCUUAAAGUGCGUGCUCAAAAAACAGUCACCUACAGAUGUUUCCCCACCCAUCUUACAGUUCUGGUAAAAGCCAGUGGGCUCCAAACACAAGGCUGUACUAUGUCUGGGUACAGAAGACACUGGCCUGGGAGGCUCCUCCCUUCCACAGGUCUCCAGGUAGAUUCUGACAUGACCAGGGGUCUCAGGGAAUCUCCUCACCCAAUAAUAACAUCAGACUGUGCAGCCCACCUCAUGCUGGGAUCACCCACAGAGGGGUUGUCUAUGUUCUGGGGUGUCUGAUGAAAAUGUAGGAUUCUCAGGGCUAGCUUCUAUGGUCUCAUUCAAAGACCUAGGUAACACAGCCUACCCAUAAGGCUCCACAACACUACAGGUUGGUCACUGCUCAUCGCUGCUCAUCAGAACCAGACAGUAAGUCAUUACUGCUUUAGAUACCACGUACUUUGCCUGUAGGAAUCAAGAUAGAGCUGAGCUCAAAGUCUCCUCUCUGUUCUACCUUUCACAGUGUCAGACGUUGCUACACAGACAGCUGGGGUGAUGGUGGCAGCAACAGUCUUACCCAGCUAUGGACUUGCAGACUGUAAUACCAGC